AUGAAGCAGACUGAGGCAGUAUCUCUGAUUGGUGAAUUUGAGAAGAACCAGGUUGUUCUUUCAUUUCAUUUCUUUAUUUAUUUCACACAUGGUUCAACAGUGUUUCUUUUUCUACAUACAGAACCUUCUGCCUCUUUUCAGCAGAAAUUCUGCUCAUUCACCUCUUUUCAGCACAAAUUCUGCUUAUUCACCUCUUCUGCAAAAUUUUCAGCCUUUUCACCUGUUAUUACCACAAAUCUCAGCUGUUUUCAGAAAAAACCUCUUUUGAGCAGAAAUUCUGCUGAUUCAUCUCUUUUCAGCGCAACUUUCUGCUUCUUUACCUCUUUUCUGCAGAAAUUCUGCUGAUUCACCUCUUUUCUGCAAAAUUUUCAUCCUUUUCGCCUCUUAUCAGCACAAUUCUCAGCAGCUUCUGCUAAUUUCAGCAGAAUGGUCAGUCUGUCCACCUCUUCUUUGUGAGAAUGAGUUUGGCUCAGUGAGAUGAGUAGCCGCCUUGAGACCAGGAGGGCCAGGUUCGAAUCCUGCUUAAGGUGAAAUUUUUUUUUUUCACCACCAUACAACUUUUUGCAACUUUUCAGCUUUUUCAGCUUUUCAGCAGACAGCUUCAGCGUUAAGGCAUCCACACAGCAUUUUCGCAGGAAAUGCAAAUUUUUCUAGUUAUUAUUAUUCUAGUUGCCACUUUUGUACUUUUUUUGGCACUUAACUACUUCCACAAUUUUCAGCCGAUUUUCACCGUUCAAAUUUUAAACUAUUCUGCUAUUUCUGCUAAUGAUGGCAAUGACUUUUGGUAUUUUUAUCUAUUAUACUUUUUAAAAUAUUAAGCUUUUUUCCUUUAAUUUGUCCCAUUGAAAUGAAUGGGAAACUUCCACAAUUCUGCUAAAACUUGCUUGUUUUUGAAACUUAACUACUUUUUCCUACUUUCACGUAGAACAACCAUUCAAAUUUUAAAAUGUUCACAAAUUAUUGGGCUAUUCAUGAAUGAUUCAGCUUUUUCAUAUCUGUUACAGUUUUACUUUUAUCCCUCUUAAAGUUUUGAGUUGCAAAAUUGUGAUUUUUCAGAAAAUACAUGCGUUGUUAUGGUUGCUAUGCACUUGGCUUCCAGUGUGCCACUGUAGGUUUCGCAGUCUUCUCUUCAUGUCCGAACAACUUCUUGCUACUUGCUCGAUUUUCAAUCAACUUCCACAAAUUAUACAUCAAAACGUAGGCAUUUUUGCUGGCUUUCCGAAAAUGUCACCAUCAUUGUUGUGAGAUUUAUAGAAUUUUGGCAAAUCUCCUCAGACCAACACAAAGUCUGAAAACUCUCCAUAGAAAGUCAAUGGAGAGUUUGUUCAAAAUCACCGCUUGAUUUCUGUAAUGAGAGGCAUAUUCGAAUUGUCAUAUCUCCUUAACGAAGCGAAGUUAAAACAUGAGGCUUGUCCCAGUAUAUCUUCAGACACUCCUGACGCUCACAAUUCAAGAAUUUCUUUCUCACCUAUUACCGUUCUGAGAUGAGUUACACUUGUUUGAGGGUAGGAAAUUCGUCCUUCGCUCAGAUUUCUUCAGAUUUCAAACUCUGGAAAUGAACCACUUUUUUCUCUCGUCAUAUCUUUUUGAUGGAUUUCCACAGAGACCUGAAAAUUUCCAUGACUGUUCACCAAAGCCUGCUGUCUCUUACGGUGAAAGAAUGAUAUUGAUACUCCAAAUAGAUUUAGAGUUAGAAAGCGUUGUUUGAGGGCAAGUCAAGGCAGUUUUUGCUUUGCUCUACUCAGUUAUGGUGCAUUAGAAGUCAAAUAUCUUUAAUAAUUCAUAUUUUAAUGAUAAAUUGUCAACACUUUAAGAUUCCCCCAUCUCUUCUGAACAAAAUGGUGUAAGAAUGACCGUUCUA
ensembl:lncRNA